GUGCAAAUGCAUCUUCAUUCCUUCCUGAAGAAGUUUUGAAUUUUACCUCCCACAGGGAACAAGUCUGUCUAAGAUCACCUUUGCACUCAGGGAAUACCCUUCAGGAAGUAAAUCCUGUCCUGUGGAGAGCUCCCCAUGGUAGCUGAACUGAGUCAUCAUACAGAAGAAAGACAACAGGACCUGUCUGAGGCUUGCCAUGAGACUCCCAAGGCAGAAACCCAAAGCUCUAGAGGCUGAAUACUGCUAUGCAGAUGAGUGAGCAGACUGCUACCACCAGGAGGAAGAAACGCUGCCACCUCCUUUACAGUUGUUGGCUCUGGUGCUUGUCUGAUUACAAGAUAAGAUGAUCCAAUUCACUCACCCAAACCAAUAAAGAGCAUGGACUCU
rnacentral:lncRNA from 12 species